AGAGUUUGAUCCUGGCUCAGGAUGAACGCUAGCGGCAGGCUUAAUACAUGCAAGUCGAACGGUAACGGGUCCAGCAAUGGAUGCCGACGAGUGGCGCACGGGUGCGUAACGCGUAUGCAACCUACCUCCAACUGGGGAAUAGCCCCGAGAAAUCGGGAUUAAUACCCCAUAGUAUUUACGAAUCGCAUGGUUUGUAAAUUAAAGUUUUAACGGUCGGAGAUGGGCAUGCGUAACAUUAGCUAGUUGGUGAGGUAACGGCUCGCCAAGGCUGCGAUGUUUAGGGGUCCUGAGAGGGUUAUCCCCCACACUGGUACUGAGCCACGGACCAGACUCCUACGGGAGGCAGCAGUAGGGAAUAUUGGGCAAUGGACGAAAGUCUGACCCAGCCAUGCCGCGUGCAGGAUUGACGGCCCUAUGGGUUGUAAACUGCUUUUCUGCAGGAAGAACUCUCCCGACGUGUCGGGAGCUGACGGUACUGUAGGAAUAAGCAUCGGCUAACUCCGUGCCAGCAGCCGCGGUAAUACGGAGGAUGCAAGCGUUAUCCGGAUUUAUUGGGUUUAAAGGGUGCGCAGGCGGACUAAUAAGUCAGAGGUGAAAUCCCACAGCUUAACUGUGGAACUGCCUUUGAUGCUGUUAGUCUUGAGUGCAGUUGAGGUAGGCGGAAUGUGUCAUGUAGCGGUGAAAUGCUUAGAUAUGACACAGAACACCGAUCGUGAAGACAGCUUACCAAACUGCUACUGACGCUCAGGCACGAAAGCGUGGGGAGCGAACAGGAUUAGAUACCCUGGUAGUCCACGCUGUAAACUAUGGACACUCGCUGUUGGCGAUACACAGUCAGCGGCUGAGCGAAAGCAUUAAGUGUCCCACCUGGGGAGUACGAUCGCAAGGUUGAAACUCAAAGGAAUUGACGGGGGCCCGCACAAGCGGAGGAGCAUGUGGUUUAAUUCGAUGAUACGCGAGGAACCUUACCUAGGCUUAAAUGUUGGAUGAUCGUCCGGGAAACCGGUCUUUCCUUCGGGACAUCCAGCAAGGUGCUGCAUGGUUGUCGUCAGCUCGUGCCGUGAGGUGUCGGGUUAAGUCCCAUAACGAGCGCAACCCCUAUCCUUAGUUGCCAGCAUGUAAUGAUGGGGACUCUAGGGAAACUGCCUACGCAAGUAGUGAGGAAGGUGGGGAUGACGUCAAAUCAGCACGGCCCUUAUGCCUAGGGCUACACACGUGCUACAAUGGCCGAUACAGAGGGCAGCUACACCGCGAGGUGAUGCAAAUCUCGAAAAUCGGUCUCAGUUCGGAUCGAAGUCUGCAACUCGACUUCGUGAAGUUGGAUUCGCUAGUAAUCGCGUAUCAGCAAUGACGCGGUGAAUACGUUCCC
rnacentral:rRNA from 1 species